ACAAUCUGAAAAUGGCCCCGUUUGCUGCAGUCUUUCGGGUCUAAGAUAAUUGUGCGCACAGAAUUCUGGUACAUUUAAGCUUAUUGCUGCCUAUUUUUUGUGGCUGUGCAUUGAAACCCAUGUGCCGAUAACA
ensembl:snoRNA small nucleolar RNA ACA64